rnacentral:lncRNA from 1 species
GCAGACUGCCUGAGCUCAGGAGUUUGUGACCAGCCUGGGCAACAAAGUAAAACCCUGUCUCUACUAAAAACAUAAAAAAUUAGCCAGUCAUGGCGGCGUGCGCCUGUAGUCCCAGCAACUCGGGAAGCUGAGGCAGGAGAAUUGCUUGAACCCGGGAGGCAGAGGUUGCAGUAGGCUGAGAUCCUGCCACCGCACUCCAGCCUGGGCGGGGAAAAAAAAAAAAAAAAAAAAAAGUUUUCUGGCCAGGCGUGGUGGCUCACUCACACUUGUAAUCCCAGAACUUUGGGAGGCCGAGACAGGUGAAUCACAAGGUCAGGAGUUUGAGACCAGCCUGGCCAACAUCGUGAAACCCCGUAUCUAGUAAAAAUACAAAAAUUGGCUGGGCCUAGUGGUGGGCGCCUGUAAUCCCGACUACUCGGGAGGCUGAGGCAGGAGAAUCACUUGAACCUGGGAGGCGGAGGUUGCAGUGAGCCGAGAUCGCACCAUUGCACUCCACCCCAGGCGACAGAGGGAAACUCCGUCUCAAAAAAAAAAAAAAAAAUUUUGUCUAAAUGCUAUGUGGUAUUGGAUCCUGGAACAGGAAAAGGACAUUAGCAGAAAAAACUGGUGAAUAAAGUUUGGUGUCUGAUUAAUAAUAUACCCAUGUUGGUUACUUAGACUUCACCAAUACAGAAAAUGGAUAAGGAGUAUACAGAAACUCUGUUUUAACUCUGCAACUUUUCUGUAAAUCUAAAAUCAUUUAAAAUACAUAAAAUAUUUUAAAUUAACGUAUUCCUUACAUGAAAAUGUGCAAAUUUUAUGUUAUUUAUAUUUUACCACAAUUUUUAAAAAGUUCUUAUGCUGAAAAGUGUCAGAUGUGGAACAGCAAUACAUCAGCAGCUCAAUCACCAGCAUAGUGUCAGUGUAAUCCCAAGUAAGCGAGGCAACACCAAACCAGCCUCUUGUUACACAGCCAUGUGACUAAGGGCAGAAGGUAAAAUAUAGAAAUAAACUAUGAAGAAAAUGAGGCCAGGCGCGGUGGCUCACGCCUAUAAUCCUAGCACUUUGGGAGGCUGAGGAGGGCGGAUCACCUGAGGUCGGGAGUUUGAGACCAGCCUGACCAACAUGGAGAAACCCCGUCUCUAUUAAAAAUAUAAAAUUAUCCGGGCGUGGUGGCACAUGCCUGUCAUCUCAACUACUCGAGAGGCUGAAGCAGGAGAACUGCUUGAGCCUGAGAGGUGGAGGUUGCGGUGAGCCAAGAUUGCGUCACUGCACUCCAGCCUGGGCAACAAGAGCAAGACUCUGUCUCAAAAAAAUAAAUAAAUAAAUAAAAAGACUAUGAAUACUUUGGUGUGGUGGAGAGGGGUAGAGAAUUUUAGAAAAGGAAAAGAGAAACAACAUAGAAGAAAAGAAAAAAGUAUCACAAGUAGGGGUCCAAAUAUCUUAUUUACUGUGCAUAAAAACUAUCCUCAAGAAGGAACUAUCUAAAAAAUGCAUAUACUGGCCAGGCACAGUGGCUCGUGCUUGUAAUCCUAGCAGUAUGGGAGGCCGAGGCAGGCGGACUGCUUGAGCUCAGGACUUUGAGACCAGCCUGGGCAACACGGCGAAACCCCAUCUCUACAAAAAAAAUACAAAAAAGUUAGCUGAUGCGUAGUGGCUUGCACCUGUAGUCCCAGCUACUUGCAGGGCUGAUGCAAGAGGAUAACUUGAGCCUGGGAGGUCAAGGCUGCAGUGAGCCAUGUUUGUGCUAUUGCAUUCCUGGGUGACAAGGUGAGACACUGUCUCAAAACAACAACAACAUAUACUGAUGUAUAAACCAAAAUAAUCACGUAAUGUGUUGGCCAACAUGGGGCAUAAAACUUUUUUGGAGAUGAAAAAUGUAUUUAAGUUGGGACAGGACAGACUUAUUAAGAAGUGCUCCUAUCACAAAGUAGACUCUCAAGAGCUCUUAUUUUUAAAUCACAAUGUAGAAUGCAUUAGUCAGAAGGCAAGUUAUUAACCUUCUGA